UUUGGGUUGGCCGAGUGGUUAAGGCGUUGGACUUAAGUUCCAAUGGACAAGUGUCCGCGUGGGUUCGAACCCCACACCCAGUA
rnacentral:tRNA from 1 species